rnacentral:rRNA from 1 species
UACAGAGGUCUCAAACGUUGUUCGGAUUCAUUGGGCGUAAAGGGUGUGUAGGUGGCGCGCUAAGUCGGGUGUGAAAUUUCGGAGCUUAACUCCGAAACUGCAUUCGAUACUGGCGUGCUUGAGGACUGGAGAGGAGACUGGAAUUCAUGGUGUAGCAGUGAAAUGCGUAGAUAUCGUAAGGAAGACCAGUGGCGAAGGCGAGUCUCUGGACAGUUACUGACGCUGAGGCACGAAGGCCAGGGGAGCAAACGGG